rnacentral:rRNA from 1 species
UACGUAGGAGGCGAGCGUUGUCCGGAAUUACUGGGCGUAAAGCGCGCGCAGGCGGGGUGCCUGGUCGGCGGUGAAAGCCCCCGGCUCACCCGGGGGAGUGCCGCCGAGACGGGCGCCCUUGGAGGGCGGUAGGGGCCGGUGGAACGCCCGGAGUAGCGGUGAAAUGCGUUGAGAUCGGGCAGAACACCAGUGGCGAAGGCGGCCGGCUGGGCCGUACCUGACGCUGAGGCGCGAAAGCCAGGGGA